rfam:Danio rerio chromosome 4, GRCz11 reference primary assembly.
GGCUCGUUGGUCUUGGGGUAUGAUUCUUGUUUUGGGUGUGAGAGCUCCUGGGUUCAAAUCCCGGACGAGCCC